ACGAACGCUGGCGGCGUGCUUAACACAUGCAAGUCGAACGGAAAGGCCCUGCUUUUGUGGGGUGCUCGAGUGGCGAACGGGUGAGUAACACGUGAGUAACCUGCCCUUGACUUUGGGAUAACUUCAGGAAACUGGGGCUAAUACCGGAUAGGAGCUCCUGCUGCAUUGUGGGGGUUGGAAAGUUUCGGCGGUGGGGGAUGGACUCGCGGCUUAUCAGCUUGUUGGUGGGGUAGUGGCUUACCAAGGCUUUGACGGGUAGCCGGCCUGAGAGGGUGACCGGCCACAUUGGGACUGAGAUACGGCCCAGACUCCUACGGGAGGCAGCAGUGGGGAAUAUUGCACAAUGGGCGGAAGCCUGAUGCAGCAACGCCGCGUGCGGGAUGACGGCCUUCGGGUUGUAAACCGCUUUCGCCUGUGACGAAGCGUGAGUGACGGUAAUGGGUAAAGAAGCACCGGCUAACUACGUG
rnacentral:rRNA from 1 species